AUACUUCUCUAUUUGGGAAGACAGUAUAAUCAUGGAUUAAGUAAUAUUCUUUUUCCUGGGUAAGACUCAUCCAUUGCACUCUGAGUAUGCAGUCCCCUGAGAGUUCUCUAAAUGUGGGAAACUUUAUAAUUUCUGUAGUGGAUGUGGGAGGCCAGCUUCACUUUUCC